rnacentral:misc_RNA from 1 species
GGGAAAAAGAAAAAGUAGUGAUUAAAUAGAAGAACAGCCCAAGGACAUUAAGAAAGUCCUUAGAAAUAAUUGCGCUUGAGAUUUAUCCACUAAAAUGUUCAUUCAGUACUUCAGGUACAAUUUCAAAAAGAACUGUUCAAUGAUAUUGCACACAGACAUAAGGACAUCCACCAGACUCACCUAAAUACCUAAUGGACACACAACCCAAAGUAUAACCUCAAAGCCUUAAAUCAUUAAGCAUUUUCCUGCACAAAAGCCAAAAGGCCACUUCAAGAAUUGCCAAAUACAUAAAGAAAUGCUUCAGUCCUAGAUUUCAAAUAUAAUUGUGCAACAUUGCAUAUUAACCAACAAAUGCAUAGAAAGAAAUGCAUCAUAUCCAGUGCCAUUGUGAUCAUGGAACCGAAAUGUGUUUCUGAUUUACACUAUACAGCUACUGGUUUGUUCAGAUAUUGCACUCAUAGAUCACAUGCAAGGCAGCCAGGAAUUUAUAUUACAAGUUACAACCACGAGAGAAUAAAAUAUAUUUAAGUUUCAUAUAUCUAUUUCUGCCACUUAAAAAUCCAGGUUGAUCACCUCCAUGAACACAUUUUAAGUAAUUUGUCAUAUUUUGUUGGGAUAACCCAUGAACUAAAGUGAUGUCACUGAUGACCUUAUUUUAACAACUAGAAAGGCAUUUUCAGGAUCCAGAUCUGAUCAUGGAUUACAAAGAAAUUUCUAUUUCCUCCAAGAAAUAUAAACAAGUGACCAACUCUUCCAAUAUGCCCAAUCAAAAAGCUUAAGCUUGGAAGAAAGGAGCCAUUCAAUAGUCAGUUUCCUUUUCAUAAUUAGGAGAAUAUAAUUUAGUUGAUUGGAAAAUCAAUAGCUUUGUAGGUUCUUGUAUAAAGGAGCAACUUUUAGUUAAUUACAUGACAUUGUCAACAAAUUAGCAGCAUACCAUAUAUUGAUAUUAUCUUUUAUUGUAACUAUGUGCUCCUGUGUUUAUGGAACACACAAUUGAAGAAAAAAAGAUGAAGUUACUGAUUCUUUUGUUUCUGAGGAUGUUGGCCAUCUAGUCAAAUCACACAAACCUUUUUCUUGUUUCUUUUUUCUUAUCCUAUUUCAAAUUUUAUCAUAAUGAAUAAGAUAAAAUAAAACGAGAUGCACGAACAGCAUAUUUGAUAGCUCUAGAGCUAGAGCUACUGAGAAGUUCAUUGACAUGUUACGAAUAAGUCACAUACAUGAAGACCAGUACAUGUCUUCAAAUUUUGAGGCCAACUCAUAUGCUACUUCUUUGAUAGGCUAGACAAGCUAUUAUUGUGGAUACAGGGAGUAAUCAUGCCAAACACAAAACUCCCUAGUUCAAGUAUUGUAUAAUAAGGUAUGCAGAAUUCUCAUAGAUAUAGUUCAUAUGAGAGGAUUACACAUAAUUAGCACAUAUUGAGAUAAGAAAUGGAUAAAUGAAU